rnacentral:tRNA from 1 species
UACGAAGUAGCUCAGUCGGAAGAGCGCCAGACAGGGUGUCUGUGGCAGUCGUAGGUUCAAGUCCUACCUUCGUAC